rnacentral:lncRNA from 1 species
UUUUUACAUGCAUUCUAAAAAUGUAUCAAUCUAUUAUAAGAGAGUAUCAAUUGAGUAUAUGAACACUACAAGUGUAUCAAUGUAGUAUAAAAGUGUAUUAAUGUGGUAUAAAAGAGUAUCAAUUGGGUAUAGGGACUGCAUGAUCAAUACAGUAUAAAAUUGAAUCAAUUUGGUAUAAAAGUAUAUCAAUUGAAGAUAGAGACUGUAUGUGACCAAUUGGGCCAAAUGACUAAAAAAAAAAAUUAGUUUAGCCGACUGGACAGCCCAUGUCCACCUUUUCAAAUAUGGGCCAUUUUUUUAAAAAAUAAACAGUCCAUAUCUUUUUCCCAAAAGAAAAUAUAAACAGAAUAUUCAAAUUCGGCCCAAAAGUGACCGGAUUCAGGAGUUACAAACAAUACCCCUAAAAAAUACAAUUUUCCUAAAUCGACCUCUUCAUUUUCAUCUCUUCCACUUUCAUCUAGAGAAUGUUGUCACUGCUCCUUCUAAAUGCAUGAUUGAGGUUUCUCAUGCUCUGGGAGAUCUUUCUUUCUCGUUGAUAAAUCUAUCAUCUUCUUCUCAGCUCGCAGAAGUAACGAUCUUGUGUUUCUCUCUUUCUUUUUCAAGAGCACCAUUAAUCAAAUCUUUCUUGUCUAUAUGACUUUUUAAAAGUAUAUAAUACAAGUGGAACUCUAAAGAGGAUUAGAACCUUAUAUUCUCACUUUGUAGCUUGGUGUAAUUUUCUCUCUCAUUGCUCUUUCUAUGUAGAUGCGCUUCU